rnacentral:misc_RNA from 1 species
UCGUACAAAAUGUGCGAGGCAUGCGAGGGCUGUCGCCGACUCAAAGUCGUGCACGCCGGAGUGUGUCCUCUCACAUAACAAUCCAUCUCACCCUUUGUGCACCACCGCGCGGGCACCCUUUGGGAUCAGAGCGAUCUCGGAGGGGGUUCACGUUUUCACACAAAAACCCCCCCUUUAAAAAGUGUAGAAUGACCUCAUUUAUGCAAUCAAUA